UGUACAUAUAUUGAUUGUGUGCAUGUGGUCAGGGUUUUGAUUUCUAUUAAUUUUUGUUCCUUAAGAGAUAGUUGAACUUUGCCAUUUUUGGAGUUUAUGCAUUCAAAAGGGGUGCAUUGCAAUUCUGGAUAACUCCUCCUACAGUUUGAAUCAUUGGAAGUUUUCACUUUGCUGGCUGUGUGUACAUAUAUUGAAGGUGUGCAUGUGGUCAGGGUUUUGAUUUUUAUUAAUUUUUGCUCUUUUGGGAGAUAGUUUAACUUUGUCAUUUUUUACUUGUAUAAGAGGUCCUCCUACAGUGAGCCAUAAACCUUUAUGCACCAUGCUCAACUUUGUGUAUUUUAAAAAGAAACUUUGCUUCUGCAGGGCAUCAUUCGUCUCUCCCAAAC
rnacentral:lncRNA from 1 species